rnacentral:lncRNA from 1 species
GCCAAAUAGUGGGCUAGAAUUACACUUCCUUCCCUGAUUUCAUGACUCUAUGCCACUGCUGGUCAACCCCAAGCAUCAGAGUCAAAUGGAUUCUUUUCUUAUACUACCCAAUUACUUAAAAUUAUGUAACAUUAUAAUUUCCUUCAUUUUUAGACUCCAACGGUACUCAUGCCAGACUGAUUCCUGUUCCUUUGUAAAUGGGCUCCCGGGCCUGCCUCAAAACGGCCAAGAUCCCGCGAGAAGAGGCUUCCUCUGGGACGCGUGGUCCUGGCGGGAGCGCCUCAGGGCUGAUUCGACCCUUCUCCAAGACGAUCGCCGUGGGCCGGACCUUCUAGAAGACAGCACGUGAGGUAAAAUCCUUACUCCUGGGGAGUGGAGUGCCGGAGAACCAGCAGAGAGAGAAAAUGGGUAUGAAGCAGGAGAGGAAAGAGCGUUAGGGAGGAGGCCACCCCAGCUUCGUGAAAAGCUGGGCGCUGGGUCCUGCGGCGUCGCGUCGGGAAAGCUGCGCCUCUCCACACAGUCCCUCCGGGGGCAAGAGAGUAUUUGUCUGGUCCCGGCUCCUUUCGGUCAAGGAUCAUUCCACGGGGUAACUCCUCCGUAAUUGCACGUUGUGUAGUGUCUGGUGCCAACAAGUUCCUCAGCAACGACAAGGAGUCCCCAGAGUAGGAGGCAAAAGAUGCCGCAGGCGCAGCAGGCAAAGGUGCUGUUAGGUUGUGUCCCUCGGUGGCCCGAGGGACCACACGUAGCCGUCACCACAAACCCUUUUGUAGCAGUAGCAGCAGCAGCAGCAGCAGCAGCAGCAGCAGCAGCAACCUGACCCCAUAACCAUGGGAACCGGGAACCGCUCCAGCGACUGCUAGGUUCAGUCACUGCAGAUCUGGGAGCUUCCAUAAACCGAAUCCCCUGGAACUACUAUUGUGGUGGCUCCGAGAAAGUGUUUUCUGGUCCUUUUAUUGUUUUAUUCAACUUACUCACAUUUUUAAAAAGAUUUUAUUUAUUUGACAGAC